ACAAACAGAAACUGUGUCUGGUGACUCACUAACAGGAAGAGAACAUUCUUUCUUACUAUCAGUUUCUGAGCAUCUGCUGGAAGUGUUGCUGUUUCUGGACUACGACAUCCUGUUGUAGCCCUAUUCAUCCUCACACUGACCCUUCCGAGCUGGCAUGGAUUCAGGAGUCAAACAGAAAGCUGGGUGCUGUGGCCUGGUUCUGGAUAAAAACUUUCAUGGAGUGAUGGGUGUCCCAUAUGCAGAUGCAUUCCAAAUGUGUAAGGCAAGCAGUCUCCAGGGAAGUUCAACAGUUGUACAACAAACCAGACAUUUUUGUGGGUUACAAGGUUACAAGCUGAGCCCUGGAUGCCCUGUGUUGACAGCAGAUAGAUCCCACGUCUGUUUCUUGGCCAAAACAGCAAAGGUUUCAAAAUAUACACAUACAAUCAGGGACUACAUGAAAUGGUUCAGACACUAUCUGUUUUGCCUGAAGAGAGGAGUGUAUUUCCCAGGUAACCCCUCAAAAUUAUGCAAAUGGAGAAAUUUAUUAAAUGACUCUGUUUGAUUCGUCCCUGAUCUAUGGACUUAGCAGUGAUUCUUUGGCUUUCUUUCACUGCUAACAGUAAGAAGUACAGUUAGCACAGAAUAAUCUGCACAUUUAUUCCUGCCCAGAAGUUCAGUGCUCUUGCAGCCAGUGUCUUACCAGCUAGAGAUGGUCCCAAAAGUGCAAAUGGUGAACAGAUAUGACCAUUUACAAAUGCUGUAAUUUUGACUCCUUAAUCAUUCCUUUACUCUUGUUUCAAGCCUCCUUCAAUCUUUAAUUUUGUUUUUUACUUCUCUCCUUUUCUUCUCCCCCAUUAGCCUUUUGUAGGCUGUGCAAAAUUUCAGGAAGCUGAACAUGCUUUCUGCAUUUAUAAUGCCACUCUAGAUACUUGGUUUUAAUAAAUAAAAAAUAAUAUUAUACA
rnacentral:lncRNA from 1 species